UUUCCGUAGGUGAACCUGCGGAAGGAUCAUUGUCAAACCUGCAAAAGCAGACUGAGAACAUGUUAAACCACUUGGGAUCGAGGCACCAGAGAAAUUUGGUGUCAAGUCCCCUUCUCGUGUAUAUGCAUUUUACGGGCUAACGAACCCCGGCGCGGUAUGCGCCAAGGAAUACUCGUAGAUGCAUCCGCCUUCAACGCCCCGUACUCGGUGUGCGAUGUUUGAUGUCUCUGAAAGUCUAAACGACUCUCGGCAACGGAUAUCUCGGCUCUUGCAUCGAUGAAGAACGUAGCGAAAUGCGAUACUUGGUGUGAAUUGCAGAAUCCCGUGAACCAUCGAGUCUUUGAACGCAAGUUGCGCCCAAAACCACUUGGUUGAGGGCACGUCUGCCUGGGUGUCACGCAUCGCGUCACCCCCAUUCUAUCCCCGGAUAUUGACCCCCCGUGUACAUUAGUAUGUGGUCGGUCUAAAUGAGAACCUGUGGCAACUCGUGUCACGAUAAGUGGUGGUUGAAUACUCAACUUUCGUGUUAUCGUGUCAAUAGUUGCAUGCUGGCAUCGUAACAAACCCAAAGGCUUGACCACUCAAGCUUUCGACCGCGACCCCAGGUCAGGCGGGAUUACCCGCUGAGUUUAA
rnacentral:rRNA from 1 species